rnacentral:misc_RNA from 1 species
ACAGGAGGAGGGCGAGUGACCGACGAACGAGUUGGAAAAAGUUAGGGGAAUGAACCGAGUACGCUUUCGGGGAUAACGAAUCGUCGUUCGAACGUUUCUGGAGCACGCUUGGGCUUUAAUUCCAGGGAAUUGCCAAGUUCAUCCAGGCCAAGUAUCGCUAAAGGGCAGGCUCCUCGUCGAAGCUGCUUCUAGGUUUCCAAUCGACGCCUUGAUUUCCUCCGAAACGAUCCGCACGUACGAAAGAAAUUAUCAUAAAAAACUUUGCAAUCGAAUUAAGUUUCUCUUGAAAAAAUUUCAAGAUGAGAAGAUUUCCAAUAAGAAAAGAAUUGAUCGAAAAGUAUCUGUACUGUGAUUUAAGCAUAAGUAACAGAUUAAGAAUUGUUCGAACAAUGUUUUUAACCAACCAAAUACAUAAAAGUGAUAAAACAUAUAUUAUGAUAUAGAAAAGGCCAAUGAAAUAUAAGUAAAUGUCAUUUCAAGCAAAAUGAGUCAGAGCUAAAUCUAUAGAUGGUAUAUUCGAUAUUACUGACAGGCCAUCUAGGUAUAUUUCAUUUUUCAGUGAACCUUUCAGCCGAGUACAAUUCGUAAGAUUAAUGUUUUUUUCAAUUUGAAUAUAUUUUGCACGAUGGAGAAUCGCCUAUUGCUGUUUUAAUAAUUCAGCCUUCACCUCCUACGUUGGCUGACCUUAAAACGUCCAACGUUACUGGCAGCCCUCUGACGCGACACGUUCCGCGACUACUUGUACCGUUCGAUAGAACGUCGACCUCUAUCACUGACAGACUCGUCUAGUAGCGAGGCGUCGCAUUAGUCAGCCAGAAGAGCUGCGAGCAAA